rnacentral:rRNA from 1 species
UAAUACAUAGGGUGCAAGCGUUGUCCGGAAUUAUUGGGCGUAAAGAGCUCGUAGGUGGUUCGUCACGUCGGAUGUGAAACUCUGGGGCUUAACCCCAGACCUGCAUUCGAUACGGGCGAGCUUGAGUAUGGUAGGGGAGUCUGGAAUUCCUGGUGUAGCGGUGGAAUGCGCAGAUAUCAGGAGGAACACCAAUGGCGAAGGCAGGACUCUGGGCCAUUACUGACACUGAGGAGCGAAAGCGUGGGGAGCGAACAGGAUUAGAUACCCUGGUAGUCCACGCCGUAAACGGUGGGCACUAGUUGUGGGGACCUUCCACGGUCUCUGCGACGCAGCUAACGCAUUAAGUGCCCCGCCUGGGGAGUACGAUCGCAAGAUUAAAACUCAAAGGAAUUGACGGGGCCCCGCACAAGCGGUGGAUCAUGUGGUUUAAUUCGAUGCAACGCGAAGAACCUUACCCGGGCUUGAAGUCUACGUAGUAAAGAGAUGAAAGUCGAAUGACCCGUUAAGUCGGAUG